AUUGAAUCACCUGUUCGCGUACGAUCACCGAAGUUAAGCAACGUCGAGCUUGGUUAGUACUUUGAUGGGA